rnacentral:ribozyme from 16 species
GAAGAAGAUGACGACUUUCCUUUUUUCUCUUUCUUCUUUUCCUUUUUCUUUUCCUUUUCCUCU